rnacentral:rRNA from 1 species
UGGCACUGAAACACGGGCCAGACACCUACGGGUGGCAGCAGUAGGGAAUAUUGGGCAAUGGGCGAAAGCCUGACCCAGCAACGCCGCGUGCACGAUGAAGGUCUUCGGAUCGUAAAGUGCUUUUCUGAGAGAUGAGAAAGGACAGUAUCUCAGGAAUAAGUCUCGGCUAACUACGUGCCAGCAGCAGCCGCGAUACGUAGGGGGC